rnacentral:tRNA from 1 species
GUCUCAGUGGCGUAGUGGUUAACGCUCGGCCCCGGUUAUGCGCGAGACGCGGGUUCGAAACCCGCAUGAGAUG